UCCUUCUCACAUCACAAACUGUUGCUUUAAAACCUUAUUCUUCAUCGCAUCGCGUUUCUUUAUCAAUUACCACCCAGUCGGAGUUUUUCCUACUCGCCAAUGUCCUUGAAGAAUUACGGGGGCGAUGUGCGAAUAUUGUGCGCGAAACGAUUCCAUUUCCACUUCCUUGCAAGUUUAAAAAGUUUUGUACUCCCGUUAUUAAGAAGCAGUCAAUUAAUUAUUAACUUAGUCCUAAAUAAGAGAAAACUAAUUGGACUUUGAAUUAGUUUUCUCUUAAACCCCGGACCAUUGUUAUUCUGAUCGCCGUUAUUCUAAUAAUCUGAGGCAUCUUCCUUUGGCCUGUGGUCGACUUGGUGAAGUUUUUGGCAGAGACAAAAAAAGUUCAAAUUGCUUAACCUGUCGCGUUAGUACUUCUCACCUGAGAGAGUAAUGAUAGUGCAUCUUAUCAAAUUUGUGGUUUUGUAUCUAAGAAACGAAAAGCAAUAAUUACCAGGACCAUAUAUGUCCGAAUCCUUCCAAGGUCAACGCCGCCUUUCAUCCUUUCGGGGGUCAACAAAAUAAAGUACCAGUCAAGUACUGGGGUCGAUGUAAUCGAUUGACAUCCUCUUCCCCAAAUUAUUGCUAAGAACGCAAGUGACAAGGGCUGUUCAAGGAGUUAAAUAAACCCCGGCAGUCCGUAGGUAUUAAUUGACAACACCAUUCACCGUCUUUUCCAGCCUAACCUCUUUAUUUAUAUUCUGAAGGAACGUUGUUCAUAAUAAAAGACAGCAGAAAUCGUUCUUAUCUCUACGACUUCGUGAUUUUGUACGUGUGUGUAUUUGGAAGGAACAAGGGUCAAAAUUGUGGAAAUAGGCCAUAGUCAACUGGUUUUCCUUGUGACUUCACGAAUGCACAUUAUACUGUACACACAUGAACACAAAACACGAAAUGAAGAGAGGGAGAGAAA